rnacentral:rRNA from 1 species
AAUCAAGUGCCUUAAGGGUGUUCGGUGGAUGCCUUGGCGCUGAGAGGCGAUGAAGGACGUGCUACGCUGCGAUAAGCCGUGGGGAGCUGCGAAGAAGCUUUGAUCCAUGGAUUUCCGAAUGGGGAAACCCACCUUCGAUAGCCGGAACUCCAAGACCUCAGUCGAAAGACUGUGGUGUGGGGUUCGAACAGAGAUGUGAGAUGCCUAGGCCUUUAGAUUUCGAUCGAAGAGGUUUUGGAUUUCCGGUUAUCAAAAGAAGGUAUGAGACUUCUGAAUACAUAGGAGGUUUCAAGCAAACCCAGGGAACUGAAACAUCUAAGUACCUGGAGGAAAGGACAUCAACAGAGACUCCGUUAGUAGUGGCGAGCGAACGCGGACCAGGCC